AGGAAUCUAUCGACCUUGAUAGAAGAGGAGUGAUCCUAUGUGAUUUGUUAGACUGAGUUCUAAGACCUUGGCCAGGGCAGUAAUAUAAAGUGGAGAAAGAGUUUUCCACUAUCGAACUUAAGUCGAAUAAAUCUUGACAUAUGACAGACGAAGGGGUUUGACGAGUUAUCCAUGACCUCCGUCCUGUAGGGAUCCACGAUAGUAGGACUGUAUCACACGUUAACUGCACCUAGAGGUUCAUCAUUCCAUUCUGCUGGGUAGCCACUACAUGCUGCUAGGUGUCACUGGUGGAUGGUGGGACUCACAGGGAUUAUCUCGAUGAUCGAUAAACCCUAAUGAGUUGAGUUGGAAUCGUUCCAAUCCAUUGAAAGGAGUUUUCAAUGAUAUAGUGAUAGAGAUCGCAAUAUAUCUCACUACCAGUCAGAAUAGAACCUAUGGGGUCACACACACUAGAAGUAUUGACCGAUUCGAUGGUUGAAAAGUGAUUAUGAAUCACGAGUAAU
rnacentral:lncRNA from 1 species